rnacentral:rRNA from 1 species
AUUGAACGCUGGCGGCAUGCCUUACACAAGCAAGUCGAACGGUAACGGGUCCUUCGGGAUGCCGACGAGUGGCGAACGGGUGAGUAAUAUAUCGGAACGUGCCCAGUAGUGGGGGAUAACUGCUCGAAAGAGCAGCUAAUACCGCAUACGACCUGAGGGUGAAAGGGGGGGAUCGCAAGACCUCUCGCUAUUGGAGCGGCCGAUAUCAGAUUAGCUAGUUGGUGGGGUAAAGGCCUACCAAGGCAACGAUCUGUAGUCGGUCUGAGAGGACGACCAGCCACACUGGGACUGAGACACGGCCCAGACUCCUACGGGAGGCAGCAGUGGGGAAUUUUGGACAAUGGGCGCAAGCCUGAUCCAGCAAUGCCGCGUGCAGGAAGAAGGCCUUCGGGUUGUAAACUGCUUUUGUCAGGGAAGAAAUCCUCUGGGCUAAUACCCCGGGAGGAUGACGGUACCUGAAGAAUAAGCACCGGCUAACUACGUGCCAGCAGCCGCCGUAA